AUAAGCAAAGCUGUUGUUCAUUUUUACAUGUAGCUUUUUACAGGAGAUGGAAGGUGAGCUAAGUGGUGGGGCGUGCAAACGUAAGCAAACGUAAGCAAACGUAAGCAAACGUAAGCAAGAUUCAAACCACGACAAAAGAGAAAGGGCGGAACAAUUUUGGUUAACAGUCACGUUUAGUGCACACAGUUGUUUUUCUUCUUUCUGAAGAGUGUGCUCUGCUGUACUGGACUGUUGACCAACAAUGAGUUUUAAGACUUUGGACAAACUGAAUAACUUGACUGCACCUGAAGGUGCAUUCAAGCCAAGUAUCACGGCUUCUAAUCACGCUACAGUUGUCGCUCCACAAAUUAUUCACUCAAUAGUCAAAGGCUCUGUGACCUGCACUGUUACCACAAAAGAAGACAAGAAGCCUGCUGAUGCCAACCCAGGACAAGCUCAGUCUGCUGAGCAGGACGAUAAAAUGGAACAUUAAAAAAAUGAUGCCUUCAGAACAACAACAAUGUAUUUCCCCAUAUAAUCC